rnacentral:lncRNA from 1 species
GGGCAACGGAGUUGGUCAUCUACAGACGGUGGCAGGUAAUGGCGGCCAACGGUGGUGGUGGCAGGUGGCCAGCAGCGGGAGUCCGGUGGUGGUGGCAGGUGGCCGGCGGCGGAAGUCCGGCGGUGGUGGCCGGCGGCGAGAUAUGAUUGGCUAGAUAUGGACAUGUGGCAUAGUAUGCUUGCCUUAGAAGGAGUGGCAUUGUGUGUAAUUUUGAUAUGUUUUAAUGAUAUUUUUGUAAAAUUAGGUACCACAAUUUGGUCUUUUGCCUUAUGCUAAUUAGAUGAAAUUGUAUUACUAUCUUCUAAAUUAGUAAACUAUAUUGUGUUUUAAAACUAAAGCUCCCUUAAAACAAUUCAUAUGCCAAGCAUGCGAGACUAUUUAAGGAGAAAUUGGUCAUUUGCACUUUAAAAUAAUUAAAACUAAAAAAAAUUAAAGCAAAU